AUGCCGCUGAGCUAAAUCCCCAGCCCCAACACUGUUGGUUUUAAGCAGGAGCCUAAAGAGAUGUCUUUCUAUGGUCUGUUAGCCAUUUCAGAACUUGGGCAGUGAAAUGGUCAAUUCACUAGAAAGAAAUAGCU
ensembl:snoRNA